CUGUUAAAAAAAGGAAUCACUACUUCACAGUACUCGAAGUUGUUCCUAAUUGUUUCAUGUAGCUUCAAUUGAAUUAUUAUUUAUUAUUAUUAUUUUUAUUAUUAGUAUAAUGUUAUUAUCAUUAUUGUUUUUAUUAUUUAGGAUCGUGAGACAUUGCGUCAGAUUGGUAGGCGAGAGCUUCAAAGUGAGCUCCAAGAGACAAAGAAAGCUGUAGCUAGGAGAACAGCACCUGAGAUCAUCAACAGUAUAAGUGGUAUGAAUUUAGAAACAGCUGCUGUUAUAUCGGAACUGAUUGUUGAUAGGACACUGGACGAACUGGAGGGAUGCACUGGAAGACUGCACAGUAUGAGUGAAAGGAUUGCUGGAUCUCCCAGUAAAAGAGUGUCUUAGAUAUUCUCAUUCAGAACUAAAGACCAGACCACACCCAUGGGAAAGAGGAGACGCAGGAAAGAUGAUAAUGAAGAAGAUGAUGAUGAAAUUGUUCUUCCUUCUGAUCCUCUAACGACUGAUGGCCCCACCCUCCAGCACCUCGGAAACAAGAGACCACGCCCACAAAGACGUAAUCAAAAUUGUCCGGCAGGCCUCAAGAAGGCAGCGGAGACGGGACCUUCCUCAAUAUGGGACCUUCCAGCCAGUGAUGACACUGAUAAUAACAGCACUCCAGUAGAGACUAAAAAGUAAAAUUUAUAACUGUGCAUAUGCAUAUUUAGCCACGGCCACAACCAUAUUAGCCACGCCCAGUCUAAUAAAUAAUUGGAAAAUAGAGAGCUUUUAAGAACAUGUAAAGAGUGCAAAUUUUCCCUUUCUGAAAUCACCCUCAAUUUUUUACUACAUUCUCUGAUACAAACUGCUGUCCUUGUGCUAAUAAGAAUUUUGUGUUAAUCUGACCAUAGGCGGCUGCAGGAUUUCACUGCAAGUAGGGCAAAGGUGUGGCUGAAAGUGGGAGUGGUCAAAAGGUAGGUGUGGCCAUGACCACACCCACAUGUCUUGCUCUUGAGUUUUAAGACCUUUAAGACUUCUAUUUCAGCAUUUUGUGAAGAAAUCAAGUUGAAAGAGGCUCUAAAAUUCUCAAUGAAGAGUUACCCUGCCAUUCUUGUGUUCAAGAAGAGAAAA